CCUACGGGAGGCAGCAGUGGGGGAUAUUGCACAAUGGGGGGAACCCUGAUGCAGCGACGCCGCGUGGGUGAAGAAGCGCCUCGGCGCGUAAAGCCCUGUCAGCAGGGAAGAAAAUGACGGUACCUGAAGAAGAAGCCCCGGCUAACUACGUGCCAGCAGCCGCGGUAAUACGUAGGGGGCAAGCGUUAUCCGGAUUUACUGGGGGGAAAGGGGGCGCAGACGGCGAUGAAAGCCAGGCGUGAAAGCCCGGGGCCCAACCCCGGGACUGCUCGUGGAACUGCGUGGCUGGAGUGCAGGAGGGGCAGGCGGAAUUCCUGGUGUAGCGGUGAAAUGCGUAGAUAUCAGGAGGAACACCGGUGGCGAAGGCGGCCUGCUGGACUGCAACUGACGUUGAGGCCCGAAAGCGUGGGGAGCAAACAGGAUUAGAUACCCUAGUAGUC
rnacentral:rRNA from 1 species